AGCGAACGCUGGCGGCAGGCCUAACACAUGCAAGUCGAACGGACCCUUCGGGGUUAGUGGCGGACGGGUGAGUAACACGUGGGAACGUGCCUUUAGGUUCGGAAUAGCUCCUGGAAACGGGUGGUAAUGCCGAAUGUGCCCUUCGGGGGAAAGAUUUAUCGCCUUUAGAGCGGCCCGCGUCUGAUUAGCUAGUUGGUGAGGUAACGGCUCACCAAGGCGACGAUCAGUAGCUGGUCUGAGAGGAUGACCAGCCACACUGGGACUGAGACACGGCCCAGACUCCUACGGGAGGCAGCAGUGGGGAAUGUUGCGCAAUGGGCGAAAGCCUGACGCAGCCAUGCCGCGUGAAUGAUGAAGGUCUUAGGAUUGUAAAAUUCUUUCACCGGGGACGAUAAUGACGGUACCCGGAGAAGAAGCCCCGGCUAACUUCGUG
rnacentral:rRNA from 1 species